AGCCGGCGCCGUGGAAUUGCUGCAUGUUCUGCAGCUCCUGCAGCAUGCUCUUCACCAUCAUGCCGAGGUUCUUCAUGCCCGCUUUGUUCGUAUCACAUUCGGACGAAGACUCCAUCGUGGAAGCAAUAAUUGUUUGAGGAAUGCAACCUGCUUGGUGCUCGUGCAGAGCAGAUUGCCUAUCCGCGACCCGCGGCGCGACAAUUUAAUUGGCGGAAUGAAACAGUCACAUGCAGGGAGGAAUUAUUAAUUAUUUUGUCACUCUGUUUAAAUUAAUAAGGCAUCCUCCGCCCCUCGGAGGAGCCACAGAUUUAAAAUAAAAAUUAAAUUCACGGUUUUGGGGGAAACUCCGGCUAAUUUCACCCUUUGCAAAAUUAAUCGCACCUUAUUUAGAUGAGCAGCUGCAUCGUAAACCGGCGAAGGAAGGAUGGUGGCUGCCUGUGCCCCGCGGUGCCCACACCCUGGGCCCGGAGAACAAGGGCGGCUGCCAAAUGUCAAUAAAUUCGGCUGCAGCUCGAAAGAGAUGCUCGCUCGCUCGCUGGAUUUUUGACUUUCAGAUGUUUCUGUCUCGUACCGGCCCACUUGUCCCAAGGGCGCACGCGCCAAUAUCGCUCACUCUGCUCGCGGUGCUCUCGUCGUUUGAGCUGAUUUCGCGCACACGUGCGUGGUUUGCCCGGCUCGCAGCCGUCAUUUAAAUUCGAAAUUCCUCGUAAUCUGCGUUAAUUAUGGAUGAAAUUAAGGACCAAAAGAAUUAAAUUACUUCAACAAACAAUUUUUAUUGAAAAUUUGCACUAAUCAGGUUUUGAGCAGUUUAGAUUUCCCGCAGUGGUGUUUCCACGGGUCACAAUAACAUUUUUAGGCGCUUUCUAAUUUUUAAAUCAAAACUAAAAACUGCAAAUCAAAAAGUUAAAUGGCUAAAAAUAUAUAUUUAGUAUAAAAUUUCUGGAAUUUCACUUUUACAAACAGAAGAUUAUCAUAUCACUGACGCAAAAUUCUGAUUGGCCAAAAGUUUGAAAAACACACGGUUUCAUAAACCAUUUUUCACGCUUUUGCAAUGAAAACACAACCUUUUUGGUGUUAAAAGAAACUGAAAAAAAUUAGAAAAUCCCAAUAUUUGUUAUUCCAGCUUUUCGUUUCUCAAAAAUAAAACAGUAAUGCAUUUUGCAAUUAAAUUUUCCUACCAUGGAAACCAAUAGAAUUUUGUUUUUAACAAUCUCUGUUUGCAAAAACCGAUUAUUUCUGGAAACAACACCCGCGUGAAUCUCUUUGUUAAGUAAACCUAACCAAUUUUCAAGAGGAUUUCAGUUUUUUGUAUUUCCUAUUAAUCAUUUUCGAUCUCUUAGGUCGGCUGUGUGUUUCCUGAGUCUCCAGUUCCACCGGCUUUUUCUCUUCAACUUUUUUUAUUGACACGCCUUCUCUGGCCAGCAACGCAUUAAACUCGUCCUAAAUAUUUCCCAUCCAAGGGCAGAAGCCAACUUUGAACAGCCCUCAUCACAGUCUCCUUCCCAAGCCACGUUUCGGCUCGUUGGAGAGAAGCUCAAAGUCGUGCUAUAGCCCAACAGUGCUCGUACUUCACGACUCGCCACCCCAAAUUUUUGCCGAUUUAUCAACAAGCGAGGCACGUUUUUAGGGAUCCUGCAAUUGAUAGGUUUGAGUUAUUUAAUUUGACGAAAACUGGUAUAAAAUUUUAAAUCAAGUUCAUUAUAAAGCAAAGUUAUCAAUCUCAUUUCACCCUUUCUUCGAAUAAAAAAUAUUUAAUAGUUAAUUCUCCAAUAUUAAAAGCCUUAAAAUCUAUAUAUUUAAUAUCCCCUUAUAUCUAUUUAGAGGGAUCGCUCCAUGCUCGAAGACCGAAAACAGUGCUUAAAUAUUUAAAGAUAUUCACCAGUUGCAUAAACCCUAAGUGUUCGAAGCCGCCAAUUAACAGAUGGCGCCACCGUAGACUUUCGAUUUUAAGGCACUUCCGCUGCGAUUUCAGACUCAAUC